UUUUCUUGCGGCAUAUAAUACAGCGUACCACGGCAUUGUCUCCAUAAAAAUGAAGCGAAAGGCAACAACAGUGGAUCUAUUUUUAGGUCUAUUCAACAAACCAAAAAACACAGAGUCUGAUUCUGAGCCAAAGUUGUCGAGUCUAAGAACUUGUCAUGUUAAGAGUCCACCUACCAGCUCAGUGUGGUUAAACUUAGCUGCCAGCCCCCUACCAUUUGGAGCCAGAGUGUAUUUGUUACUUGUUGUACUGUUGAAUGUAAAUUACAAUUUUAAAUAAAAAUUAAACAUCUUUAA